rnacentral:rRNA from 1 species
UUUGCCUACGGGAGGCAGCAGUGAGGAAUAUUGGUCAAUGGGCGGGAGCCUGAACCAGCCAAGCCGCGUGAAGGAAGAAGGCGCCAGGCGUCGUAAACUUCUUUUGUCGGGGAACAAAGGGCGCCACGCGUGGCGUUGUGAGUGUACCCGAAGAAAAAGCAUCGGCUAACUCCGUGCCAGCAGCCGCGGUAAUACGGAGGAUGCGAGCGUUAUCCGGAUUUACUGGGUGUAAAGGGAGCGUAGACGGCAUAGCAAGUCUGAAGUGAAAGC